GAUGAACGCUAGCGGCAGGCUUAAUACAUGCAAGUCGAGGGGUAGCAGGGUAGCAAUACCGCUGACGACCGGCAAACGGGUGCGGAACACGUACACAACCUUCCUUUUAGUGGGGAAUAGCCCAGAGAAAUUUGGAUUAAUACCCCGUAACAUAGCGAUGUGGCAUCACAUUGUUAUUAUAGGUUUACCGCUAAGAGAUGGGUGUGCGGCUGAUUAGGUAGUUGGCGGAGUAACAGCCCACCAAGCCAACGAUCAGUGGCUGAUGUGAGAGCAUGAUCAGCCACACGGGAACUGAGACACGGGCCCGACUCCUACGGGAGGCAGCAGUAAGGAAUAUUGGACAAUGGACGCAAGUCUGAUCCAGCCAUGCCGCGUGAAGGAUUAAGGCCCUCUGGGUUGUAAACUUCUUUUAUAGGGGACGAAAAAAGGGCUUUCUAGCUCGUCUGACGGUACCCUAUGAAUAAGCACCGGCUAACUCCGUGCCAGCCGCCGCUGUAAGAC
rnacentral:rRNA from 1 species